AUGCUUGCAGUGUGCCAAAGGCAGUGAUGCAUUUUCUGGUGAACCAUGUGAAAGACACUCUGCAGAGCGAGCUGGUCGGCCAGCUGUAUAAAUCCCUCUUGUUGGAUGACCUUCUGACAGAGUCUGAGGACAUGGCACAGCGCAGAAAAGAGGCAGCUGAUAUGCUAAAGGCCCUGCAGCGAGCCAGUCAGAUCAUUGCAGAGAUCCGUGAGACACAUCUGUGGUGAAGACUGUACCGGCCAUGCUAUUUAUAUGCAUUGGAGGUUACACUGACUUGACAAUUGCUAGGCAUGGUAUACGGAGUAGAAUUUUUAUUUAUGAACUCUUUCUGUGUACUGCAACUGUGUAAAUCUGCUCUUGUAAGGACAGUUGGUUUGAUUUGCAAACAAGCAUAUGCUGUAUUUUGCAAAAUAUGACAUAUUUAAUCCAUAUAAUAAAUGGCUCUAGAUGUUUCCUUACCAGCUUUCUGGUGCAAAUUAAAGCAGACCAAGUCUACUGUCUCAGCGACAGCCUCAUUUGAACUUCGGGAAAAACAUUAAAGUUCCAGUGCCUGACUUGCUAAACAGGUUGCCUGUGGUUAAGAUGGACGAUGUAGUCUUGUGGCAUAGUUUUAAGCUGCUUUUACAAUAGAAGUUUAAAUACUGUGAAGAGAAGAGAGCACUGAGUAUUUUCUUUCAUGAAUAUAUUGCAUGCACUAUGACAGAUGGAGGUAUCAAUUUUAUAGUACAGUAGAGAUGUCUACCGUAUUACUAUGUGUGUGUAUCCCUAUUUUUUCCCCAAAUGUCAAACUGCAGACAAAACUUUGAACUUCAUUUAAUGGAGCAUCGUGUAGGAAGAAUUAGCCUGGAGCUUGCGAACAAUAACAGCCUACUAAGAAGUGGGUGCAGAGUUAUUAAUGUGCACUGGAGCUUGUGUAUAAAUGUUGGGGGUUAUAAUCAGGUACAGGAACAUCUUCCCCUUCCUCCCCCCUGGGACCAAGCCCCUGGACCAUCCAAGAGUAAACUUGUUCUGGCAGAACUGAAAAA